GGGGAUCAUCACGCUCAAGCAAAUGAAUUUCUUUCUUCUGUUCAACACAAAAUAAGAUUUUGAAGAAUGUGGGUAACCAAACAGUUUCUGUUCCCAUCGUCUUCUAAAGAAUUUUUGAUUGAGUUUAUUUAUUUUUUGUUCUAUGCUAUGAUGAACGUCAAUGGGAACAGCAACUGUUUGGCUACCCACAUUCUUCAAAAUAUCUUGCUUUUCUUUCAACAGAAGAAAUAAAUGCAUAGAUAUUUGGAAUAACUUGAAGGUUUUAACAUUGUACCUGGGUAGUUUUGAUGAAGGGAAGAUGAGCUGCAGUUUACUGUGAAGUUCAUAGAACUCUUCAAAUGACCUCUGGACUAAAGUUGACCCAUGUUGACCUUCCCGCUCCACUUUCACAACAUAAGACUGCAUGAAGGGAAAAAAAUUAUUUAAACUGAGAUGCAUGUAAUUGCAUUAAAAGUGCAUUUUACCCCAAAUCCAAUCAACUUACAUAGCCUUUGCUUGGAGUAUAGGUUUUGAUAUGUUUGCAGACGAAUAGGCUGCGAAUGACACCAUCACUCUUUAAAGUGUAGACACGGGGAGCAAAUGACAGAACGGGACGCUCCUCAGAGGAUGCAAAUUUCAUUUGGGCCAGGUUAUGGAUAAAGAAAUUGAGCUUAGUAGCCACACUGCCAAGACUGGACUCGAUUAGCCUAGAACAAUGGAUAAGAAUUAGAUGAAGGCCAGAAGACAGAUGGAUUCAAAGGACAACGGCAAUAACAUAAGUGGUCAAUAAGGUGUGCAGACAUGGUUAUUAGGCAAUUGCUAGGAUGCUCUGAGUGGUUGCGAGGUCAUCGCUAAAGUGUUCCAGCUGAUUGUUAGGUGCUUGUUAUCUGGCACCCAGGACACAACUCAAGGAGCAAAGUCUCCAAGUUCUCACCUGGUGAAGUGCAUGGUGGCAUCUGCUUCUGAUUCAUGUGGUCUCAGAGCAUCAUAAACAUAUUUUAGAUCAUC